UGGAUAUGCAAAUAGGUGAAUAGUACCUUAUUAUCUUAAAAUAAUGCGAAGAGUGUUUAUAAAUUACCUUAUCAAUUCUCAGCACAGAAGCGCCAAAAUCUGCCAGAAUUUUUCCGCAAAAAGGACCUGGUGCGAGACCAACAAAUUCCAAAACCAUCACAUCUUUUAGGGGCAUUAUUUACAAAGCAAAGGUACGUUCAACACAUGCACUUGUAUUAUGACUUUCCAACUGCUGAGAUGCAAGCCGUACAUCGAUUAUUGUAACAUAUCGAUGCAUUGCCGAUAGUUCUUUAUUUAACUACUCUGGAAGAAAGAUAGCUUUUAGCAAACGUGUAGGCGACUUGUUAUUCUUCACUUUUGCAAACGUCACACUGUAGGGGCAUCAUCUUGCUCUUACAAAACCCUGCCAAGGAUUGCAGAAUUUUUCCCUUGGUGGAACAACACAAUAACAAACAUGCAGAAAAUUUUUUAAAAUGGUUAUCAAAUAUAUCAGACCAAAACCCAUGACGGCAGCACCUUCGGAGCAAAAAUUGCGAAAAUGUGUCCUUAUUACGAUCAGCUGAGGGAAAUAUUUGGAAAGCGGUUACCGGCCAUGCAACCGUUACUGGUUGAAAGUAACUUUCCUUCGCCUGAGCUGUGUCCAGCUAGUCCUGCACCAGAGUUCGCAGUAUAAUUCUCGGAAAAGGAAUGUGUACCUGCUGCGCCAUCAAAUGCCGCACCCUUGUUCGCAUCAAUUCCCACAUAGGUAUCAACAUACCAACGGUCGAUUCGGCCACCGAAAUCAUCCGUUGGACAAUUAGUUAGUUAGACAAUUGCAAUGUAAGCGAAGAAGCUGGAAUUUAACAUAUAUAAAUUCAAAGAAAAGAUAAAGAUAUAUAAAUUCGAAGAAAAUUAAGGAACGGAAAUUGGAUAUAGAGUUAAAAAAUAUUAUAUAGAAUUAAAAGGAAUUUAGACACUGAUGAAAAAUGCAAGGUGUUCUGUACGAAAUUUAAAAAAAUAUAUGGCAGUUAGCUUAUUUCUUUUGGUUUCGCAAGUAUGAACUUAUAUAAAUAGUUAUAUCAAAAAUAGAGUUGGUAUACCUAAUUCCACUAUGUAUAUACUUAUGUACGUUCUAUAGAUUUCCAUCUGAUAAAAAGGUUAUAGUCGAUAAAGUAUAAUAUACAUAUAUUGCAAAUUAAAGUUUUAUUGAUCACCAAAUAUUAUUGCGCUUGGCUUCUGCCUCAGUUAUUCGCCAUCCAUUUUCAUGUGUGAAUUCUCUAUUCAUCUGAUUCUUCGUCGUUAUCGAAAACUAUAUAGUCUACGUAUUUAAUAUCGUUAGAAGUAGCUCGUAAGAUCUUAUGCAACAAACAGUUAACAAUAAAUCAGUUGAAACAUAGAA